rnacentral:rRNA from 1 species
GGUUAAGCGACUAAGCGUACACGGUGGAUGCCCUGGCAGUCAGAGGCGAUGAAGGACGUGCUAAUCUGCGAUAAGCGUCGGUAAGGUGAUAUGAACCGUUAUAACCGGCGAUUUCCGAAUGGGGAAACCCAGUGUGAUUCGUCACACUAUCAUUACGUGAAUACAUAGCGUAAUGAAGCGAACCGGGGGAACUGAAACAUCUAAGUACCCCGAGGAAAAGAAAUCAACCGAGAUUCCCCCAGUAGCGGCGAGCGAACGGGGAGCAGCCCAGAGUCUGAAUCAGCAUGUGUGGUAGUGGAACGGUCUGGAAAGUCCGACGGUACAGGGUGAUAGUCCCGUACACAAAAGUGCAUAUGUUGUGAACUCGAAGAGUAGGGCGGGACACGUGGUAUCCUGUCUGAAUAUGGGGGGACCAUCCUCCAAGGCUAAAUACUCCUGACUGACCGAUAGUGAACCAGUACCGUGAGGGAAAGGCGAAAAGAACCCCGGCGAGGGGAGUGAAAAAGAACCUGAAACCGUGUACGUACAAGCAGUGGGAGCCUCUUUAUGGGGUGACUGCGUACCUUUUGUAUAAUGGGUCAGCGACUUAUAUUCUGUAGCAAGGUUAACCGAAUAGGGGAGCCGAAGGGAAACCGAGUCUUAACUGGGCGUUAAGUUGCAGGGUAUAGACCCGAAACCCGGUGAUCUAGCCAUGGGCAGGUUGAAGGUUGGGUAACACUAACUGGAGGACCGAACCGACUAAUGUUGAAAAAUUAGCGGAUGACUUGUGGCUGGGGGUGAAAGGCCAAUCAAACCGGGAGAUAGCUGGUUCUCCCCGAAAGCUAUUUAGGUAGCGCCUCGUGAACUCAUCUUCGGGGGUAGAGCACUGUUUCGGCUAGGGGGUCAUCCCGACUUACCAACCCGAUGCAAACUGCGAAUACCGAAGAAUGUUAUCACGGGAGACACACGGCGGGUGCUAACGUCCGUCGUGAAGAGGGAAACAACCCAGACCGCCAGCUAAGGUCCCAAAGUCAUGGUUAAGUGGGAAACGAUGUGGGAAGGCACAGACAGCCAGGAUGUUGGCUUAGAAGCAGCCAUCAUUUAAAGAAAGCGUAAUAGCUCACUGGUCGAGUCGGCCUGCGCGGAAGAUGUAACGGGGCUAAACCAUGCACCGAAGCUGCGGCAGCGACACUAUGUGUUGUUGGGUAGGGGAGCGUUCUGUAAGCCGUUGAAGGUGUGCUGUGAGGCAUGCUGGAGGUAUCAGAAGUGCGAAUGCUGACAUAAGUAACGAUAAUGCGGGUGAAAAACCCGCACGCCGGAAGACCAAGGGUUCCUGUCCAACGUUAAUCGGGGCAGGGUGAGUCGACCCCUAAGGCGAGGCCGAAAGGCGUAGUCGAUGGGAAACAGGUUAAUAUUCCUGUACUUGGUGUUACUGCGAAGGGGGGACGGAGAAGGCUAUGUUAGCCGGGCGACGGUUGUCCCGGUUUAAGCAUGUAGGCGGAGAUUCCAGGUAAAUCCGGAGUCUUGUUAACGCUG